rnacentral:rRNA from 1 species
GCCAGGCUCCUACGGGAGGCAGCAGUGGGGGAUAUUGCACAAUGGGGGAAACCCUGAUGCAGCGACGCCGCGUGUGGGAAGACGGUCCUCUGGAUUGUAAACCACUGUCCCCAGGGACGAAGAUGACGGUACCUGGGGAGGAAGCUCCGGCUAACUACGUGCCAGCAGCCGCGGUAAUACGUAGGGAGCGAGCGUUGUCCGGAAUUACUGGGUGUAAAGGGAGCGUAGGCGGGACUGCAAGUUGGGUGUCAAAUCUACCGGCUCAACUGGUAGUCGCACUCAAAACUGCAGCUCUUGAGUGAAGUAGAGGCAGGCGGAAUUCCUAGUGUAGCGGUGAAAUGCGUAGAUAUUAGGAGGAACACCAGUGGCGAAGGCGUCUUACUGGACCGAAACUGACGUUGAGGCUCGAAAGCGUGGGGAGCAAACAGGAUUAGAUACCCGUGUA